CCAGACACUGCUCCAGGUGCUGAGAAUAUUAGAGUACAAAACAGAUGGAAACUCUCAUCCUCUUGAAGUCCACUCGCAGGAGAUGAGCAAGAAACACACGUGGAACAUGUAUGACAUGUAAACUGCAGUAUCUGAUAGUGUUAAGUGCUGCGAAGGAAAAGCAGGGGAAGGAGAAAGAAGGAGAUGGGAAACGUCAGUUUCAUUAAGGCGUUAGGCUUCUCCAAGGAGGGGACAUCAACCUGAACAGAGAGGAAAGAAGCCCUAUGGCUGUCAGAAGGAACAGCACGUGCAAAAGCCCUGAGCUUUUGCAGGUCAGGGGUGGUUUAGCUGGUGGUUUUGGUCCUCAAGAGUUGGCAUUCGGGUGUCAAGCGGAGCCGCAGUCAUCUGAAGACCUGACUGGGGCUGGAGAAGCUGCUGACAAAGUGGCUCAUGCACAUGGCUGGCAGGUUGGUGCUGCUUGUUUGCUGGGCAUGCAGGGGAGGGAGAGCAGAGGGACUCAGUUCCUCUCCAUGUGACCUGAACCCCAUCACAGCAUGGG
ensembl:lncRNA